AUUGAACGCUGGCGGCAGGCCUAACACAUGCAAGUCGAACGAGUGGCGGACGGGUGAGUAAUGUCUGGGAAACUGCCUGAUGGAGGGGGAUAACUACUGGAAACGGUAGCUAAUACCGCAUACCAUCAGAUGUGCCCAGAUGGGAUUAGCCUGUUGGUGGGGUACCGGGUCACCAAGGCGACGAUCCCUAGCUGGUUUGAGAGGAUGACCCGACACACUGGAACUGAGACACGGGCCAGACUCCUAGAAUAGGACGACGGAAAAAAUAUUGCACAGUGAGCGCAAGCCGGAUGCAGCCAUGCCGCGUGUAUGAAGAAGGCCUUCGGGUUGUAAAGUACUUUCAGCGGGGAGGCGUUACCCGCAGAAGAAGCACCGGCUAACUCCGUGCCAGCAGCCGCGGUAAUUC
rnacentral:rRNA from 1 species